rnacentral:rRNA from 1 species
AAUAGCUACUUGCAUCAUACUAGAGAUGAUGCAAGAUCGACUAUGUCGAAUAAAAUUCUAGGUAGAAUUAUGAUAAUGACAUUGUCUGCCUAUGUGUCUUGACCAAAUUACGUGCCAGCAGUCGCGGUAAUACGUAGAAGACUAGUGUUAUUCAUGUUUAAUCGGUUUAAAGGGUACCUAGACGGUAAAUCAAGCCUAAAACUAAAAAAAAAUAAAUGAAGGGACUAAUUUACUAGAGUUACUUAUGAGGGGGUAUUAAAGUACUGCUGGUGUAGAGAUGAAAUUCUGUCAUACCUCUUUUCAAUAGAAAAACAAUGGCACAGGUAUAGGCGAAGGCAUCCCCUUAUGUGAUAACUGACGUUGAGGGACGAAGGCUUUGUGUAGCGAACAGGAUUAGAUACCCCAGUAGUCAAAGCAGAAAAUGAUGAAUGUCAUAGAUUAGAUAUAUAAGUUUAUUCUAUAAAUGAAAGUGUAAGCAUUCCACCUCAAGAGUAAUUUGGCAACAUUGGAACUGAAAUCAUUAGACCGUUUCUGAAACCAGUAGUGAAGUAUGUUGUUUAAUUUGAUGAUCCGCAAAAAACCUUACCACAAUUUGAAUAUUUAUAUCUUUUAUUGUUUUUUCUUCUUAUUAUUCAAUUAUUGAAGAAUAAGAAAAAUAGGCAAUAAG